UGUAGUCAUAUGCUUGUCUCAAAGAUUAAGCCAUGCAUGUCUAAGUAUAAGCAACUUGUACAGUGAAACUGCGAAUGGCUCAUUAAAUCAGUUAUCGUUUAUUUGAUAAUCCCUUACUACAUGGAUACCUGUGGUAAUUCUAGAGCUAAUACAUGCUUCAAGGAGUGGCUUUCGUCACUCUGCACUUAUUAGAUAAAAAACCAAUGCCCUUUGGGGCUCCCUGGUGAUUCAUAAUAAUUUAGCGGACCGCAUUCCCUCGAGGAGGCGGUGGAUCAUUCAAAUUUCUGCCCUAUCAACUUUCGAUGGUAGGAUAGUGGCCUACCAUGGUUUCAACGGGUAACGGGGAAU
rnacentral:rRNA from 1 species